rnacentral:rRNA from 1 species
GAUGAACGCUGGCGGCGUGCCUAAUACAUGCAAGUCGAGCGAACAGACGAGGAGCUUGCUCCUCUGACGUUAGCGGCGGACGGGUGAGUAACACGUGGAUAACCUACCUAUAAGACUGGGAUAACUUCGGGAAACCGGAGCUAAUACCGGAUAAUAUAUUGAACCGCAUGGUUCAAUAGUGAAAGACGGUUUUGCUGUCACAUAUAGAUGGAUCCGCGCCGCAUUAGCUAGUUGGUAAGGUAACGGCUUACCAAGGCAACGAUGCGUAGCCGACCUGAGAGGUGGAUCGGCCACACUGGAACUGAGACACGGUCCAGACUCCUACGGGAGGCAGCAGGAGGGAAUCUUCCGCAAUGGGCGAAAGCUUGACGGGGCAACGCCGCGUGAGUGAUGAAGGUCUUCGGAUCGUAAAACUCUUUUAUUAGGGAAGAACAAAUGUGUAAGUAACUAUGCACGUCUUGACGGUACCUAAUCAGAAAGCCACGGCUAACUACGUG